GGUGGAACAUGUGGUUUAAUGCGAUAAUCCACGCAAAAUCUUACCAACGUGCCAAGCUUUAUCGGUAAUAAAAUUAAUGUUUUUAAUUAUUUGAUUUAGUACGGAAUUGCAUGGCUGUCGUCAGUUCGUGCUGUAGAGUUUAGGAUUAAGUUUUUUUAAACGAAUGCAACCCUAUAAAUAAGUUUUUAUACUAUAGUUACGUUAUUAUAUUAUAUACUUAUUUACUCUAUAAUUAAUAUUAUGAGGUUCUAUCCCCGUAUAAUUAAUUAUAGUGGUUUUAGGCUGAAGUCAAGUCCCUAUGGUCUUUAUACGUUGGGCCACACACGUGUUACAAGGGUAAAAACAAAGAGACGCGAGAAAGUAAUUUUAAGCAAAACUCGAAAAAUUACCUUAGUUCAGAUUGUUUCAUGAAAUUCUGAAGCAUGAAGAUGAAAUCGUUAGUAAUUGUAAAUUACUAUGUUACAGUGAAAUAAUAGUCAAAUUUUGCACACACCGCCCAUCACGCUCGGAGAGUCGAUAUUGACGGGAGAUUUGAACACCGCCAUAUAUAUUAUAAUUUAAUUAUAUAGUAGUUUAGUAGUAUCUAAUUCAAUACUGGUGAUUUGAGUGAAGUUGACACAAGGUA
rnacentral:rRNA from 1 species